rnacentral:rRNA from 1 species
CUACCCUUGACAUGCCGAGAAUCCAGAAGAGAUUUUGGAGUGCCCGAAAGGGACCUUGGACACAGGUGCUGCAUGGCUGUCGUCAGCUCGUGUCGUGAGAUGUUGGGUUAAGUCCCGCAACGAGCGCAACCCUUGUCAUUAAUUGCCAUCAUUUAGUUGGGCACUUUAAUGAGACUGCCGGUGAUAAACCGGAGGAAGGUGGGGAUGACGUCAAGUCCUCAUGGCCCUUAUGGGUAGGGCUUCACGCGUAAUACAAUGGUCGGUACAGAGGGUCGCCAACCCGCGAGGGGGAGCCAAUCUCAGAAAGCCGAUCGUAGUCCGGAUUGUUCUCUGCAACUCGAGAGCAUGAAGUCGGAAUCGCUAGUAAUCGCGGAUCAGCAUGUCGCGGUGAAUACGUUCC